rnacentral:rRNA from 1 species
GACGUGGAAUCCUGCGAAAAGCUAUGGGGAGCUGGAAACGAGCGUUGAGCCAUAGAUGUCCGAAUGGGGGAACCCGGCUGCAGCGAUGCGGUCAUUUGCAUUUGAAUACAUAGGAUGCAAAGGCGAACUCGGGGAACUGAAACAUCUAAGUACCCGAAGGAAAAGAAAUCAAGAGAGAUUCUCCAAGUAGCGGCGAGCGAACGGGGAGGAGCCUGGCGUGAUUUAUUAUUGAACUGAGUAGAACAAUUUGGGAAAGUUGGCCGUAGAGGGUGAAAGCCCCGUAUACGAAGGUUUGAUGAGGAACUAGGCACGCGAACAAGUAGGCCGGGACACGUGAAAUCCUGGUUGAAGAUGGGUGGACCAUCAUCCAAGGCUAAAUACUACUUACUGACCGAUAGUGAACCAGUACCGUGAGGGAAAGGUGAAAAGAACCCCGGAGAGGGGAGUGAAAUAGAAUCUGAAACCGUUUGCGUACAAGCAGUGGGAGCAUAGUUUAGGCUGUGUGACUGCGUACCUUUUGUAUAAUGGGUCAGCGAGUUACUUUCAGUGGCGAGGUUAACUGAAUAAGGGAGCCGUAGAGAAAUCGAGUCUGAAUAGGGCGAUAGUCGCUGGGAGUAGACCCGAAAC